UAUUAAAAAGUUAUGGCUUUACCAGGGCCCAGGGUGGUCUCAUGUUAUUGAGAAUUCUUAGCAAAGUCUUUGUUAUCAACUUACUCUUUGAGCGAUGGAACGAUGCUCUGUUUAUACCGAAGUAUUUCUUUUCCAAUAUAUCCACCAAGUAGCAGCCGAUAUAUGAAGUAAGUUUGUUGUCAUUUUUUCAACAAGCUAUAGAAAACUUAACAAACAAGCAAGACUCAUUUUUCUUUCAAAUUUUUUAUCGAAGCAUUGGGCGAAUCUGUAACGUCGCUAAGUUCAAGGUUUAUUUGAUUAAUGAUAUGUACCGUUAAAAAAGUAUCAUACUGUUGAUCUUUCUCAUGAAAUGAAAAGUCAAAAUGUUGGCUGUAAAUUUUAGUCAGUUUAAAUCUCGCUACAAAUCAUGAUAGUUUCUUUUUCUUUCAUCUUCCCUUUAAAACUAUGCUAAUAUUACCUAUACUAUACCCAAA